AGCCGAUGACGGCGAUGCCGAGGCCGGGCUCUUGUGAGUCCACACCUGGCCAGCCCCGCCGGCGCCUGCUGCCGAGUGGGAGUAGGACGUGCUGUAGGAGCCAGCACCGGGGCCGUGGUCAGCCGGCAUGGCAGUAUGGCCAUUGAGCGGCAGGUACUGGUCAAACUCGUGCACAUCGAAGGUCUCCAUGUUGUUGAUGACCUCGCUGCUCAGCUCUGAAAUGUCCACGUUGCUGAAGUCAAUGUUCUGGCGGCCGCUCUCCACGAGGCGGCGGCCCUCGUGCUUCAGCUCCUGCUUGCUGCCGUGGUGCAGGUCAGUUUUGGGGGUCGUGGGCGGCGUGGGCGGCCCAUGGGGCUGGCCUGCAUGCUCGCCGUGGUGGUGGCCAUCAGCCAUGCCCCCCAGCCCGCUGUCAGCCUUGUAGAUCUGGGUGCCGGCGUGAUGGCUGAGCUCGGCCCCGGAGUCGGAGUCGCUCUGCCCAGCUUUCACGCUUUUCCUCCUCCGGGGCUGGUAUUUAUAAUCCGGGUGAUCCUUUUUGUGCUGGACCCUGAGCCGCUCAGCUUCUUCCACAAAG
rnacentral:lncRNA from 1 species